CACGAAUUGUCGUGGUCAUGGUGUUGAAAGGUUCAGGCUUUGACGCUGAUGGCUCUACCUCCUUAAGAGACAGACCCACCCCCUGACACAGUCGGGGCAGGCACAGGAAAACUUGCUAAGUCAUCGCAGGACACCCGCCAUGCAUUACACCUGCUGAAGACUCUGGGCAUGCGUAGAACCUCAGUGCACAGGAGGUUCUGUGUUCCUGCCUCAUUGACAGGUGGCCAUGAUGUUACUGCUCAAUCCUGACAAGAAGGUUCCUGGUAUCUAAGACGUAGGACUCGUUUGCAGGGAGAAGACGGCUGUCCUUAGAGGCAACAUUUACUUUUAGCAGCUUUAGGCCUGGCACAGGAAGCAGUCAGAUGAGUUGGACUCUCACAUCUGCCUCCUUCUGCAAAUUCAUCCAGUGCUCCAGUUUAGGAUGCAAAUGCAGGGAAUGGUGCCAUCCAUUUUUCUUCCCACAUCAAUUAAGAUCCUCGUUUGGUUUCCAGGCUCAGACCCUCUUGGUGGCCAAGCUAGAACCUGGAGAUCGGUCCCCUUACCUUCCCAGUCUCUUCCACCUCUGAUCAGCCAGUGAGGUAAACACCAUGCUAAGCUAUGAUCUCCUGCAGCUGAUGGUUCCUGAUUCAUCUUACCAUCGUGAAAUUUCAUUCCCUAGCUGGCCUGAAAUCCUCAGAAAUCUACCUGCCUCAGCCUCCUGAGUGCUGGGAUUAAAGGCGUGGGGGUGGACUUUGAGGUCUCCUAUGCUCAAGCUACUCUCAGCGAGACAGACCACUUCCUGUUGUCUGACUAUCAAGAUAAAGGGCUCUCAGCCCCAGCACCAUAUCAGCCUGCAUGUCACCAUGUGACACCAUGUGAUAAUGGACUAAACCUCUGAAAAUGUAAGCUACCCCAAUUAAAUGGUAUUUCUUCAUAA
rnacentral:lncRNA from 1 species